CGCGGGAGGCUAUAAGAUAUUUUAGGAACAGUCCCCUUUCUUUAUUAUUCAUGUCAUGCUAGUGUGCUUAAUCAUAAGUUAAACUCUCAGUCUAAUCUAUUCUUCUCUUAUUCCAGACCAUGGCCCCAAAGAAAAGAAACCAGCCAGCUCCUCAGCCCGAAGAUCCUUUGGGUAAACAUAUUUCCCAUGCGGAGUUUAGAGUCGUAUUUACCACACUUUCUUAGUCCAUGGCUACACAAAACAAAUGGCUACCAGUCAUUUUGGCUAAUCCAGUGGCCACUCCCAAAGAAUCUAGGGUUUGGGACUUCACCCGGAUGACCCCUC
rnacentral:lncRNA from 1 species